UGCGAGUCAUAUGUUCUUCGUGAACAUGGCGUACUGCUCAGUAACACGUGGAUAACCUGCCCUUGGGACCGGGAUAACCCCGGGAAACUGGGGAUAAUACCGGAUAACGCAUAUCUGCUGGAAUGCUUUAUGCGUAAAAUGGAUUUGUCUGCCCAAGGAUGGGUCUGCGGCCUAUCAGGUAGUAGUGGGUGUAAUGUACCUACUAGCCUACGACGGGUACGGGUUGUGAGAGCAAGAGCCCGGAGAUGGAUUCUGAGACAUGAAUCCAGGCCCUACGGGGCGCAGCAGGCGCGAAAACUUUACAAUGCGGGAAACCGUGAUAAGGGGACACCGAGUGCCAGCAUCAUAUGUUGGCUGUCCAGAUGUGUAAAAUACAUCUGUUAGCAAGGGCCGGGCAAGACCGGUGCCAGCCGCCGCGGUAACACCGGCGGCCCGAGUGGUGAUCGUGAUUAUUGGGUCUAAAGGGUCCGUAGCCGGUUUGGCCAGUCCUCCGGGAAAUCUGACGGCUCAACCGUUAGGCUUUCGGUGGAUACUGCCAGACUUGGAACCGGGAGAGGUAAGAGGUACUACAGGGGUAGGAGUGAAAUCUUGUAAUCCCUGUGAGACCACCUGUGGCGAA
rnacentral:rRNA from 1 species